rnacentral:lncRNA from 1 species
GAGGUUAUGUACCUUGUUUUUCGGCGCUGGUGAUGAACAGGACUGUGAGCAGCAGCAGAAGGAGAUAGAGUGGAUGGAAGAAUCUCAUGGUGAUGCUGCGUGAGGUUUGGUCCGCUGCGCAGACCCGAGUGUCCUCAGAUGUCUCCGGUAUCUCCGAAAGCAAAGUCUGUGAAUAUGCAGAGGGAUGGAUAGAUAGACAGAUGACCUGAUGAGUGUGAAUGUCCAGUCGAGACAAUGUAGCUUCACCCCCUCUUUAUACAGACAAGAGAAAGGGGGAGGAGAGGGCACAACAGAAGGAGUGGUGUAUUCGACAUCAACUGCGGCCAGACUUGACAAGAUUGCAGUGGGGCAGCAGUCAAAUUCUAUCUGUUUGAACCAUGGGUUGGUAAUCAGCCGUGGGAUGUCAGGUUAUUUCACACUGUACAUUUGUAAAGUCUGGGUUAAUAUUCUUAUUUGCAUAUGUAUGAGGUCAAUAUUAUUGGACAGUAAUAGUAUAUGAAAAGAAUGUGACCUGUUUUACAAAGACGCAAACAUUACACAGUUUCACACACUUGUGUGCAUUCAUGUUUAUCAUGAUCUAAAAACCCUUUUUUAUCUAAAGGGUUAUAUUUAAUGAUGUGAUUUUAUACAAAUGUGAAUUAUAGAAAACUUUUAUGUACGGAUUCUCACUUUUUUUUGGGGAUGUAGAUGUUUGUAGAUGUAGAUUGGAUGGGUUUUUUUCUGCUUAUGAUAGAAACUGUAGUGGAUGUAGUGGACCAGAUACUGAGGGAAAAACAACAAACAAGUGUUCCAGGAUGCACAGCAUGAAGAUGGAAUUGUAAUGUAGUCAAAGAGUAGCGA